rnacentral:sRNA from 1 species
UUCGAUUCGAGCGUCAGCGAGAAAGCGUUGCCGCAGGCAACGACCCGAAGGGCGAAGCGCGCAGCGCUGAGUCAUCCUUCCCCCAUCACCA